UACAGAGGUCCCGAGCGUUGUUCGGAUUCACUGGGCGUAAAGGGUGCGUAGGUGGCCGGGUAAGUCUGACGUGAAAUCUCCAAGCUCAACUUGGAAACUGCGUCGGAUACUAUCCGGCUCGAGGAUCGGAGGGGAGACUGGAAUACUUGGUGUAGCAGUGAAAUGCGUAGAUAUCAAGUGGAACACCAGUGGCGAAGGCGAGUCUCUGGACGAUUCCUGACACUGAGGCACGAAAGCCAGGGGAGCAAACGGG
rnacentral:rRNA from 1 species